rnacentral:tRNA from 1 species
GCAGUUAGCUCAGUUUGGUUAGAGCAUCUGGUUUACACCCAGAAGGUCACAGGUUCGAGUCCUGUACUGCCC